GCCUACGGGGCGCAGCAGUGAGGAAUAUUGGUCAAUGGGCGGAAGCCUGAACCAGCCAAGUCGCGUGAGGGAAUAAGGCCCUACGGGUCGUAAACCUCUUUUGCCGGGGAGCAAGGGCCUGGACGCGUCCCGGCCCGGAGAGUACCCGGAGAAAAAGCAUCGGCUAACUCCGUGCCAGCAGCCGCGGUAAUACGUAGGUGGCGAGCGUUGUCCGGAUUUACUGGGCGUAAAGGGAGCGUAGGCGGAUUUUUAAGUGAGAUGUGAAAUACUCGGGCUCAACUU
rnacentral:rRNA from 1 species